rnacentral:lncRNA from 1 species
UCGACCGUAGUUUGAGCACCCAUAAACCUCCUUCAUGGAAUUGUUGGCUUCCAAGUGAUGCAAAUAUGAGCUUCAACUCCACAAUGACAAAAUAAAGGUCUUUAAUUAAUUAUCACAAACUAGAAAAUGCAAUUAAAAAAAAAGCUUAAGAUAUUAAGAAAGAAAGUAGGCGAAAUGAGAAGUUCAGAUGAAUAUAAUAGAGGGAUUAUGUGUUUCCAAUUGAAAAGGAUAAGACCCCACGUAAAUAGCCCUAUUUUCGUCCGUUGGGCGUAGGAAGAGGUUCUCUCAUGCUCCUAAAAUUCGUGACAUACAUGCAGGGGGCUGGCUAGGACCAACUAACGCCACAUAGGAUGGGUCAACGGUCAAAUAUGUUUAUUAGCUUUAGGUUUUAGGAGUUUAAGUGUUCAAAUGAGAAAGUCGAAAGUUCAUAUAUCGGUUUUAAAAUCGGCCGCAGGUUUGAGUGACCAAGAAACCAUUUCGCCAUAAAUGAAUUCAAAAAUAAUUUGCUAGUUGUUGCUAUUCUUUUUAGUUUUUUAAAAAAUAUAAUUGUCCAUUUAUUUAUAUUUAGUAUCAUAUUUUGGCAAGGUUGUCUGGUUAAUUUGUUGACUGUAAUAACAACAUAUCUUUGUAUUAAGAUCGAACAAAUUAAAUGCUUAAAUGGCAGUGAGGUAAUGCUUAAAAUCAACAUCUCCAAAGUUAAGUAAUUUGUUUUAUUGACAUUAAAAUGAAAUUAAUUUGUUUUCAGUUUUGUAAGAAAAAUGUACAAUCAAAAUAAAAGUUUUUCAUGGUUUUUUUAUUUAUUCGAUAUGUGCAUUUAUAGUUGGGAAAAAAAAGAUAUUUAUAUUAAGUAGUUACCGUACGUACUCCACUAAAUUUAGUUUUUUGAUUGAGACUAACCUCUUUGAUUGAGACUUGAUUUUAGCGAAGUGCUACCUCUCUGGCUCUCAUAUAACUAAAAGAUAGGAGUAAUAUAAUUGAAAAAGAAAAAUAAAUUGUUUAUUUGUUUCUCAAAUCAAGUGGUGCCCCAGCUGUAAUAGCUAAUUAUUCAAAUCUAAAAAAAAUGAUUCUUUUACUUUGGAAUCAAAUGGUGGCCCACCAUAAUCUUCACCUUUUAUUUAAAAAAAACUAAGGUUAUAUUUUCUUUAUUACACAUCUCAAAGUUAUUUUUCUUUCUUCCAUUUAUAAUAAAAUUUCGGCUAGAAGCAUAUAUAAUGUGACGUUCAUGGCUUUCUGGUAACCAUGGAGAUAAGGAUAUCUCGUCUUAGCAAUAAAUCAAAUGAAAAUGCAAGCAAUCGAAUUUCACACUUUUGUUCCUUUUCUUACGAACCAUCAUUUCCUGCAGAAAUCCUACUCUUCCUUAUUAUUUAUAUUUUUUGUAUACUGAAUGAAUCUAUUUUAUUCUAAUUUAAUUUAAGAAGAAAAAAUCACGCUCCGUAGGAUUUGAACCUACGACGUCGUGUAUUGGAGACCCGCGUUCUACCGAACUGAAUUAAAAGCACUUUCUUAUCAAAAUAGAUAAGACCCUAAAUAACGCACAUCUCAACUAUUCCAUUAGAUAGUUCCUAUUAAUAAUUUCGGGCACUAAGAUGUAGAUUGACAAAAAUAAUUACGUGGUAUUUUAUAGUUUUGUAUGGGUCAGAAUCCGACCCCAUGAUAAUUAAUGAAAUUAAUUCCAUCUUAAGCUAAUGCGUGAUUAAUAAGUGGUAUGACCACUUAUUAAUAAUGGUACCCCAUAGUCACCCGGCUCGAUCAACAAGGCUAUGGCCCAUCCGAUAUCAUAAGGGCGGAACCUCAACUUGGUCACGACGACUUAUCGCCAGCUCAUAAAGCUUAUAGCUAUAAAUACCAAGAGAAGAAACACUAAAAAUGGGGCAGCUUCUUGUUCAUCACUGUUCCCAAGGAAAGGGGAACGUCAUUGUAAGACUCUGAACCUCUCUAUGGAGAGACAAACCAAAUCAAUAUUAUCAAUAAAAGCUCUUUACAUAUUUCUCCUUAAUUCAUAACACUUGCUUUACGUUUCUUUCACUUGGUUCCUUGAUUUGUUACGAUCUUCUAUGAUUGGUGUGACGACUCAAAGGGUCAUCAUCGUAAUUCUUCUUUUUUUCCAUUCUUUUGAGGCCUUAAAAACCUCGCUUUUAGUUGCUUCGAUUUGCGUGCACAAUCCGAGCGCGUAGCCGGAAAGGUUUUACGUUGAAAUAUGUGUAUUUUGUAAAAAAUUUGAAGAAUUUUGAUAUUAAUAUUGAUAAAGUUGACUUUGGUUAACAUUUUAGGUAACCGGAUCCCUGAGUGAAGGUCAUGUGAGGUCCGUAGAAAAAUAUGGACCCGAGCGUACUCCCGGAAUCAAAAUCCGAGGUCCCGAGCCCGAGUAAAAAAAUUUUGAAAGAAAUUAUUUUUCUGAAAAUGAUAUGAAAAUUUGAAACGAAAAUGAGUUAGAAAAUAUAGGUAUCGGGAACGUAUUUGGUUCCGGCACAGGUCUUAAAUAUGUGUCAAGCACUAUCUGUAAAGUUUGGUUGAAAACGGACGUCGUUUGACGUGUUUCGGACUAAAAUGGGAAAUUUGGGAUUUAUCAAAGUUGAAAGAAAAAUUAUGUUGUGAGGCUUGAUUCAUAGAUUUUGAAGUCAUUUUGGAGAUUUGAUCGCACGAGUAAAUCCGUAGGAUAUUUUUGAGGUUGUGUGCAUGUUUGAUUUACAGCCCCGAGGGCUCGGGUAAGUUUUGGAUAGGGGUUAGGUUGCCAUUUGACCUUAGAAAAAUCUGGUGUGUGGGCUUCUGCAGUUUUUGCAAUUGCGAAGGGGAGGCUCACAAAUGCGAGUUAUUAGUCGCCAAAGCGAAGUCUGAGUGGCCUGGGCAGGGAUCGCAAAUGGGAUCUCCGGUCUCGCAAAUGCGGACAGGACCUGAUCGCAAAUGCGAACAAUGGGGUCGCAAAUGCGAAGGUCCCUGGGCUGUGCUGUGUUCGCAAUUGCGAAUGUUUCUUCGCAAUUCCCAAUCUAGCAGGGUCGGGGUUCGCAAUUGCGAACCUCGGUUCACAAAUUCCAUGAAUGCACCUGUGCAUUUCCAUACUUGGACGAAUUUAAACCCGUUUUCUUCAUUCUUUCAAAACACAAACUCCAUUGGCGAUUUUUCACGAACUCUCUCUUCUCCAAAUCAAUUGUAAGUUAACUUUUAACUAAUUUCUUCAAUCUUUAACAUCAUCUAUCAUGUUUUAAUCUUAGAAUCAAGGAAUUUCAUGGGUGAACAAUUUGUAACAUCACCUAUCAUGUUUUUAUCUUAAAAUCAAGGAAUUUCAUGGGUGAAAUUGGGGAUUUUGAGUAGAACCUAGGUUUUUCACUAAAUUGGGGAUUUGGACCUCAAUUUGAGGUCCGAUUUCAAAAUAAAUUAUAUAUAUGAACUCAUGGGGGAAUGUGUAAUUCGAUUUUUGUUCGAACCCCGGGUUUUGACCACGUGGUCUCGGGGGCAUUUUGGGAAUUUUUGGGCAAAAUUUGGGAAAUUCAUUCUUAUGUAUUCAAAUUGAUUUAACUAGCAUUUGCUAAUACAUUUGAGUAAUUUGUUACUAGAUUCGAGCAAUUUUGUGGUGAAUUCGAGGGGUAAAGCUAUACUAGAGGCUUGAGUUGAGUUUGGAGCUUUCGAGGUAAGUGUUUGUUCUAACUUUUGCUUGAUGGAUUAGGAUUAGGGUUUUAUUUGCUACCUGUUAAUUGUGGAGUACGGUGCAUAGGCAUGGUGACGGUUAUCUAUGCACCGGAGUCUAGCAUGACCGUGAGUCUUAUAUGUGUNNNNNNNNNNNNNNNNNNNNNNNNNNNNNNNNNNNNNNNNNNNNNNNNNNNNNNNNNNNNNNNNNNNNNNNNNNNNNNNNGUGAGUCUUAUAUGUGUUGGAUUCGGAUUUAAUGAUACAUCUUUCUUGCUUGGUUGAUAAGUUUAAUAUAAAGUGAAUAGUUGAGGAAGGUUUGUGACUAAUUUGUUAUUUGGAGCAUUGGCUCGGACUAAAAAUUGUUACUCGAGAAAUGAGUGAUUAAAAGUGGAACGUGUUGUGAUUAUUCCCUUGCCAGGAUUUAAGUAUUUAUUGUAUUCUCCCUUGCUGGGAUAUUUGACUUGUUAAUUGUAUUCCCUUGCCGGGAAUUCUUGCAAUUGUUGUUACUCCCCUCUCACUUGAGUUGCGAUCGUUGGUUGGGUGAGUUCUUGGUAUUAAAUGUUGAGGAUCGGGCUGCGCGCCGCAACGGUGUAGAUAAAUAUUGAGGAUCGGGUUGCACGCCACAACAGUAUUAAUUGUUGAGGAUCGUGUUGCAAGCCGCAACGGUGUUGAUGAAUAUGGAGAAUCGGGUUGCACGCCGCAAUGGUAUUAAUUGUUGAGGAUCGGGUUGCACACCGCAAUGGUGAAAUAUGUUGAGGACCGGUUGCGCGCCACAAUAGAGUAUGGACUGAGUGUAUUGUUUUCGUAUGUAGAGACUUCCUGUUUUCCCUUAUCAGUUGUUAUUGUUCAGCUUCACUUCUUUACCGAUGAUUUCUAUAUUUAGACUGUCGUACCCCACAGCAUGCUCCCCCUCAUUUAAUUGUUUAAAUUAGUGUAUUUCAUGUUAUUGCACAUAUAUCUGUACAGGUUAUUGCACACUCUGUGCAUUUUUGCGCACAGAUCAGGACGCAUCUUACGGACCACAACAGUGGGAUUUCUAGGAGUUAUCUUCAGUCCAGGGACUCUCGAGGUAGCCUAGUUGGCGUUCGCAGGCCGAAGUCCCUUACUUUAUUUUUUGUUUUUUCAUCUUGUAUAUGACAAACACUAUGUACUUUAUUUCCAGACACUGUUUGUAGUAUUCAGUAGUAGUCCGUGAGUAGUGACACCAGAUAUUGGCUAGAGGUAUAUAUUGAACCUUCCGCAUUUCCGUUUUCAGUUAAUUAAGUAUUUAAAAGUCUUAUGCUUUAAUUAUUGUAUCAGUUUAUCUUAAUUGCUUAAAUGAAUUUUGUAGAAAUGUUGUAAUGUUUGGAUUGCCUAGUUACAAUAGUAGGCGCCAUUACGACUUCCGAUGGUGGGAAAUCCGAGUCAUGACAAUUGGCCCUUGAUUAAUUUUGAUUAUUUUAUGCUUGUAUAGUGUAUGAUAACUUUGAGCCAAAUAAUUUGGCGCCAUCUGUGGGGAUUUCGUAGCAGAAUCACAUAGUUCUUCCCUGGACCAAAAGGAAAGAAAUGCCGGAAAGAGAAAGCAACCCAGAUCAAGCGAGCCAAAGCAACACGUUGGAUAAAGGGAACCCAAGGACUUCGACAAGUACAUGAACCUCUCACCCCUCCAUUCUCGAAUAAGUGUAAGAAGAGGAAGAAGAUGUAAGCCCCCCCUCCCCGGGGAGAACACAUGUACGGCACCCCCGUAUCCCUGAUACAGGAUCCUGUCGGAAAACAGCCCAAAGAGAUCUCAAACUGAGAACCAUCACGAGGUAACCCGCACACCAUAGUCGAGAAGACAACGCAUAAAUGUGCGAAAUCUUAAAUCAAAACCGAUCUCUAACACCCCACACCUAUGACAAUGGGUCGUGCAGAAGAAGUAAGGUCAACAAAAAGCUCAACUACAAGUUGAACUGGGACUCAGGCUAUGUGCCUUCGCCAACAAAAAUUACAAGUUCAACUACGCUUGAACCAGGACUCAGGCUACGUGCCUUCGCCAUGUCACACCUCCCUUUUACGCCCCCGCGAGGGGGCGCAAGGGUGUUUUUAAAACUAAAGGACAAUCAAAACGGGAGUAUUUAUUAAAGAUUCAGAGUCGCCACUUUUACCCUACCAUCCACUAGAAGCUUCUUAAGUAUGUGAGAUAAACCUUUUUAUUAAACAAAUCUCUGGCUAAUUCAACUAAAUGGGUUCAGGUCUAAUUAUGCUAGCAAGACGAGAUCAGAAAAUUGAAAGCAAGAAAUCAGUUAUUUUAAACCAUAGCCAUGGUUGAUCUUUUCAUCAAUAGACGAAACAAAGCACAAGGUGUUGUGUGUUUUCAAAUAGGACUGAGUGAACCAACACUUCAAACUUCGUAUACUUGAAUUAUCACUUCACGAUAACAUACUGACUAAAGCGAUUAGCUCAGACUUCAAAAGGUACAACAAAAUUGAGGCAGGAUGCUUCGGAAAAUGUCAACAUAACAACCAUGUAACAUUCAAACAGAGAUAUCACAUGCUUAUUUAAGACAACGAACCUGCGUCUAUUCACAUAAAAGCUUAAAGCAAACAGAACCAAAAUAGAUGUUUAUUAAAUCUAAGUUUCCUACUUAAAUAGAAUAAAAACAAUGGGAACAAAUCGCGAAAACUUUGUCGAGCGUAAAACAAAAUUUCGAGGCAGCAUUCAAACACAAUCCCUUUCAAACUAUCUGUCAAGAACUACAAAUUCAUAUCAAAUUGCGGAACGGAAAAAUUCAGAACUUAAUUCACAUGUAAACUCAACCAAGCCAAGUAGAAAAAUUCAUGAAAAUGGCAAACAAACACAAAUAUUCACAUGAGAAGUGACAAAAGAGGAAGAGUCUGGAAUCGGACCUUUAGUCAAGCUUUCCAAUUUAAAAUUUCCUCUGAGCAACACACGAAAGGGAUGCCAACAACAAAACAGAACUACAACUACUGAAAUCGGAUCAAAUAAAUCACAAUUAGAAAUUCGAACAAGACCCAAUGGAACCUCGGAUUUAAACCCGGACAGCUCUUCAACUCUAACUCGAACUCCACCAAUUGAUUUCAACAAAAUAAAAAUCGAACUCGCCGAUGUUUCUGAUUUUGGAGUGAACAAGAAAUUGAGGGGUCGGUUUUGAGUGUUGUUAUGGUUGUUGGAGACGGGUGGUGAUGCCGAUGGAUUUUUAGGGGGGCUCGUGAAGGAGAUGAAACCGAGGGGGUGGGGUUCGACUAGUUGGGGCUAGUAGUGUGUGGUUGUUGGUGGACUGGUGGUUGACGGAAAGGAGAAGGACGAGCUGCUGGUGGUUCGGGCGACGUGGGUGUUCGUUUGGCGUGGUGCUGCGGUGGUGGCUGGAAAAUGAAAGAAAGGGGGUCUCUA